UUCCGAGGACAUGAACCCCAACUACGAAGGUGGCUUUACAUUACCUGAACCCAAGAAAGCUAAGAAACAAACUGGGAUUAGAUACCCCACUAUGCUUAGCCUUAAACAUUGAUCGUUUACCACAUCAAACAUCCGCCCGGGAAUUACGAACACUAGUUUAAAACCCAAGGGAGUUGGUUGUGCUGAACAUCAACGGAGAGGAGCGUGUUCUAGAACGGAUAACCCCCGUUAAACCUCACCCUCCCUAGUUUUGUCCCGCCUAUAUACCACCGUCGCCAGCUUACCCUGUGAAGGCCUAAUAGUAAGCACAAUUGGCACAGCCCAAGACGUCAGGUCGAGGUGUAGUGCAUGAGAGGGGAAGAAAUGGGCUACAUUCGCUGGCCUCCAGCGAAUACGAAUGAUGCAUUGAAACAUGCAGCUGAAGGAGGAUUUAGCAGUAAGCAGAAAACAGAGUGUUCCGCUGAAACCGGCUCUUAAGCG
rnacentral:rRNA from 1 species